CCGAGUUUACAACUCCCAAACCCCUGUGAACAUACCUUAACGUUGCUUCGGCGGACCACCCUCGCCUCAACCGGCGGGGGCCCGCCAGAGGACCCAAACCCAAACUUUGUGUUUUUUGUCUUGCAAAGCGAACUUCUGAGUGGAUUUUAUAAAUCAAAUCA
rnacentral:misc_RNA from 1 species